ensembl:lncRNA
UCUGAAUUCGCUCAACGUGUCAAAUAAAGGCCUCAACACCAAGGUCCUCUGCAAAAUUGCUACCAAUGAUGUUCUCUACCACUACAGCUUGAGAGGGAGGAGGGAGAAGCGGUCUUUCCAGGUCCUGGUGAUUUGCUGGUAAAUAACCAGUAGGUUCAAUAUUAACCUACACUGAGAGUACAAAACAUUAAGAACACCUUCCUGAUAUUGAGUUGAACCCCCCUCCCCUUUUCCCCUCAGAACAGCCUCAAUUCAUCGGGGCUUGGACUCUACAAGUUGUUGAAAGCGUUCCACAGGGAUACUGGCCCACGUUGACUCCAACGCUUCCCACAGUUGUGUCAAGUUGGCUGGGUGUCCUUUGGGUGGUGGACCGUUCACAAAGGAAACUGUUGAGCGUUAAAAACCCAGCAGCGUUGUAGUUCUUUGACACAAACCCUCUGGCACCUCAAUAUUUUGUCUUGCCAAUUCCCCCUCUGAAUGGCACACAUACACAAUCCAUGUCUCAAGGCUUAAACAUCCUUCUCUAACCUGUCUCCUCCCCCUUCAUUUACAGUGAUAGAAGUGGAUUUAACAAGUGACAUCAAUAAGGGACCAUAGUUUUCACCUGGAUUCACCUGGGCAGUCUGUCAUGAAAAGAGCAGGUGUUCUUAAUGUUUGUCCCACUCAGUGUACACACACUACACACUACACAUCCCCUUACAAUUCAAGUUGAAACUGUGAGAUUUCAUAGGGUCAGAUGUCAAAAUGCACCGAGACAUGCAGAGGUAUGAUUUACACAUUUUUAUUGUUCAGUUUAAAUGCAUUUUAGGUUUUUAUUUUCCCUGUUACGGCAAAGUAUCUAAGAAUAUUCCCGACGUUAAAAAUCUAGUUUGGCCUUCAGAUACAGAUAAUAACGUUUAGGCUGUUUUUCGCGGUUUAUCUUCGUUGUUCUUGUUCUGAAAUGACUGAAGACCUGAAAUGAAGGACAGUACUGUUUAAAUGCUGCUGAUAUCACUUCCUGUUUACAGAUGUAAAAGGCAGAGGUAUGAUGAUGUAGUACACGUUAACUUUCCACUCUACACAUGUUGUGUAUGAUGUAGUACACAUGUUGUGUAUGAUGUAGUACACAUGCCUACCUUCCACUCUACACAACAUUUCAGUUUGACUGAUCUCUAAUGACCUUGGUGAUUCUAAUUGGUAGGUACUGACUGACUAGUUUAACCCAAACAACACAGAGACAGAAAGGUAUGCAGACAGACAGAGGAUCAGAUCACCACAGACAGGUUUGGUCUUUGUUCAUGUCCCCAUCCACUAACACACAGUAGACCGUCCCCAUCCGCUAACAAACAGUAGACCGUCCCCAUCCGCUAACACACAGUAGACCGUCCCCAUCCACUAACACACAGUAUGAGACUCAAAUGACCCAAUAUUACCUGUGUGGUAAGUCAGCCUCGUCAGAGUCAGAAAGGUUGGCUCUGUUUCUCCUGUUUCUGUAGUGUGAGGCAGGACACUAGUCAAUCUCCUGUUUCUGUAGUGAGGCAGGAUGCCAGUCUAUCUCCUGUUUCUGUAGUGUGAGGCAGGACGCUAGUCUAUCGCCUGUUUCUGUAGUGUGAGGCAGGACGCUAGUCUAUCGCCUGUUUCUGUAGUGAGGCAGGAUGCUAGUCUAUCUCCUGUUUCUGUAGUGUGAGGCAGGACACUAGUCAAUCUCCUGUUUCUGUAGUGUGAGGCAGGACACUAGUCAAUCUCCUGUUUCUGUAGUGUGAGGCAGGACACUAGUCAAUCUCCUGUUUCUGUAGUGUGAGGCAGGACACUAGUCAAUCUCCUGUUUCUGUAGUGUGAGGCAGGACGCUAGUCUAUCGCCUGUUUCUGUAGUGUGAGGCAGGACGCUAGUCUAUCGCCUGUUUCUGUAGUGAGGCAGGAUGCUAGUCUAUCUCCUGUUUCUGUAGUGUGAGGCAGGACACUAGUCAAUCUCCUGUUUCUGUAGUGAGGCAGGAUGCUAGUCUAUCUCCUGUUUCUGUAGUGUGAGGCAGGACGCUAGUCUAUCGCCUGUUUCUGUAGUGAGGCAGGAUGCUAGUCUAUCUCCUGUUUCUGUAGUGUGAGGCAGGACACUAGUCAAUCUCCUGUUUCUGUAGUGUGAGGCAGGACACUAGUCAAUCUCCUGUUUCUGUAGUGAGGCAGGACACUAGUCAAUCUCCUGUUUCUGUAGUGUGAGGCAGGACGCUAGUCUAUCGCCUGUUUCUGUAGUGAGGCAGGACGCUAGUCUAUCUCCUGUUUCUGUAGUGUGAGGCAGGAUGCUAGUCUAUCUCCUGUUUCUGUAGUGAGGCAGGAUGCUAGUCUAUCUCCUGUUUCUGUAGUGUGAGGCAGGACACUAGUCUAUCUCCUGUUUCUGUAGUGAGGCAGGACACUAGUCUAUCUCCUGUUUCUGUAGUGAGGCAGGACACUAGUCUAUCUCCUGUUUCUGUAGUGAGGCAGGACGCUAGUCUAUCUCCUGUUUCUGUAGUGUGAGGCAGCUUGAUGUACAAGUACACCCCCUAAACAGGAUGCUAGUCUACCGCAAGGUCCUAUGGACAGUGGUCUGGCCAAAAGUAGUGCACUACAGAGGGCAUAUCGGUGCCAUUAGGGACGUAAUGACGGUAAAAUAGAAUGCAUUGGUGUUAAACAAGUGUCCGUCCCCACCCUCAAAUCAGGAGCUACAUGGCCAACUGGUCCAGAGAUGGUUCUAGAACCUGCACUUCAUUCUAUAAUUGUUCUGUCAUGUGACCUGGCACUUCCUGUAGUUUAGUGUACUUCCUGUCUGUAUCACAGCCACAAAGUCAGGGCAUUGGCUAUAU